rnacentral:rRNA from 1 species
AGCGAACGCUGGCGGCAGGCCUAACACAUGCAAGUCGAACGAACCUUUCGGGGUUAGUGGCGGACGGGUGAGUAACACGUGGGAACGUGCCUUUAGGUUCGGAAUAACUCAGGGAAACUUGUGCUAAUACCGAAUGUGCCCUUCGGGGGUAAGAUUUAUCGCCUUUAGAGCGGCCCGCGUCUGAUUAGCUAGUUGGUUGAGGUAAUGGCUCACCAAGGCGACGAUCAGUAGCUGGUCUGAGAGGAUGAUCAGCCACAUUGGGACUGAGACACGGCCCAAACUCCUACGGGAGGCAGCAGUGGGGAAUCUUGCGCAAUGGGCGAAAGCCUGACGCAGCCAUGCCGCGUGAAUGAUGAAGGUCUUAGGAUUGUAAAAUUCUUUCACCGGGGACGAUAAUGACGGUACCCGGAGAAGAAGCCCCGGCUAACUACGUG